AAUUUAUGACUGCACUUCUAUAUAAAUAUGUACUACAAUCUGGAAACACCAUCCUCAGCCUACAUACAGCUCAUUUUAGUUAUUUACUGCUGAUUUGUUAAAGAAAAGGAACUUUUGCGAAGUAAGAUUAUCAUCUCCCCCUUUGUUAUCUAAAAUUUUAACCCGUCAUCCAUAAUCACACUAUUUUAAUUAUUGUCAACUAUGCUCUGAAAUUUUUAAUAAUUUCUUUUUACUCUUCAAUCGAAUUUUACAAAUUUAAAAUAUUGCUUGGCGAUGAUGAUGAAGGAUAAAAGUAAUAGCUGUCAAGGAAGAGUAAUGGAGGCCUACACAAAGAUAACAGAAGCUGAAUUUAAGGAGGAUUGUGCAACAGAAAUGGUUGGAGGAGUUUAGAGACUACAAUUCAUUUUCACGAAAAUAAUAAAAAUUGAUUAAGAGA